UUGGGGUGUACCGUUGAUGCC
rnacentral:siRNA from 1 species